UGGGGAAUUGUUCGCAAUGGGCGCAAGCCUGACGACGCAACGCCGCGUGGAGGAUGAAGGUCUUCGGAUUGUAAACUCCUGUUGAUCGGGACGAAAAGCUCCAACCUAAUACGUUGGAGACUGACGGUACCGGUUGAGGAAGCCACGGCUAACUCUGUGCCAGCAGCCGCGGUAAUACAGAGGUGGCAAGCGUUGUUCGGAAUUACUGGGCGUAAAGGGCGCGUAGGCGGCCUUCUAAGUCGGACGUGAAAGCCCCAGGCUUAACCUGGGAACUGCGUCUGAUACUGGGAGGCUUGGAUUCGGGAGAGGGAUGUGGAAUUCCAGGUGUAGCGGUGAAAUGCGUAGAUAUCUGGAGGAACACCGGUGGCGAAGGCGGCAUCCUGGACCGAGAUCGACGCUGAGGCGCGAAAGCUAGGGGAGCAAACGGG
rnacentral:rRNA from 1 species